AAGUUUUCUUUUCACAAGCAACACUCAGGCGCCAGAUGCAUUGGCGCACAUUCCCCCCUCUACCAAACUUGGUUAUUUUAGUAUUUUUUUUGAAAACAUGGUUAUUUUCGUAUUUUUUUUGAAAAACUUGUAUGGUAAUUUUAUUUUAUUUUUGAAAAAUAUAUUAGAGAUGAAAAAAUUGAAAAAUUUGUUUGGUAAACUUAAUUUCAAAAUAUUUUUAUUUU
rnacentral:lncRNA from 1 species